GCAUUUCCGGCAUUGUGUUUUUUUUUACUUUUCUUUCUUUCUCUUUUUUUUUUUUUGCAGGAUCGACCUCGAUUCCUCUUUAGUUCUCAAUAAGCCUCGGCAACUUACCAGACAGCACUCCACAAGUGCACUGAUUCGGACUCAAUAUCCGUCUGAGUUGUCUCAACCCGGUCAAACAACUUGCCCCGGAUUUCCCAGAUGCCCCACUUCUGCUUGGGACUUUGCUAUCAUGUCAUCAACAUAGCAUUUGAUUCCACGAUGAA
rnacentral:lncRNA from 1 species